GCGAGCUGGCGGGCGACUGCCGGGCGAAAGCCUGAGGAAACACCGUCCACCGGGUGGGAUCGCAGCCCGAAAGGGCACGGCUGAGAAGCCGGGAAAGCCAGCACAGAAACGACACCCUGACUGUCCUAAUGUGAUGAUGCGGAGACGCUGAAGUCGGACAGUCGGGGAUGAAACGGCUGGCUCUGCGAGGUGCAAGGGCAAAUUUCCGUCGAUGAAUACCCACCUGAGACGGGUGGUAGCCCGCUUAGCUGAAUGUCGCCUGAAAACAGAAGACGGGUUACAGCCAGCACGC
rnacentral:RNase_P_RNA from 1 species